rnacentral:tRNA from 1 species
AUUCCCGUCAUCUAGUUGGUCCAGGAUACGACACUUUCACUGUCGGUACACGAGUUCAAAUCUCGUCGGGAAUA